rnacentral:rRNA from 1 species
GAACCAGUACCGUGAGGGAAAGGCGAAAAGAACCCCGGCGAGGGGAGUGAAAAAGAACCUGAAACCGUGUACGUACAAGCAGUGGGAGCACGCUUAGGCGUGUGACUGCGUACCUUUUGUAUAAUGGGUCAGCGACUUAUAUUCUGUAGCAAGGUUAACCGAAUAGGGGAGCCGAAGGGAAACCGAGUCUUAACUGGGCGUUAAGUUGCAGGGUAUAGACCCGAAACCCGGUGAUCUAGCCAUGGGCAGGUUGAAGGUUGGGUAACACUAACUGGAGGACCGAACCGACUAAUGUUGAAAAAUUAGCGGAUGACUUGUGGCUGGGGGUGAAAGGCCAAUCAAACCGGGAGAUAGCUGGUUCUCCCCGAAAGCUAUUUAGGUAGCGCCUCGUGAAUUCAUCUCCGGGGGUAGAGCACUGUUUCGGCAAGGGGGUCAUCCCGACUUACCAACCCGAUGCAAACUGCGAAUACCGGAGAAUGUUAUCACGGGAGACACACGGCGGGUGCUAACGUCCGUCGUGAAGAGGGAAACAACCCAGACCGCCAGCUAAGGUCCCAAAGUCAUGGUUAAGUGGGAAACGAUGUGGGAAGGCCCAGACAGCCAGGAUGUUGGCUUAGAAGCAGCCAUCAUUUAAAGAAAGCGUAAUAGCUCACUGGUCGAGUCGGCCUGCGCGGAAGAUGUAACGGGGCUAAACCAUGCACCGAAGCUGCGGCAGCGACACUGUGUGUUGUUGGGUAGGGGAGCGUUCUGUAAGCCUGCGAAGGUGUGCUGUGAGGCAUGCUGGAGGUAUCAGAAGUGCGAAUGCUGACAUAAGUAACGAUAAAGCGGGUGAAAAGCCCGCUCGCCGGAAGACCAAGGGUUCCUGUCCAACGUUAAUCGGGGCAGGGUGAGUCGACCCCUAAGGCGAGGCCGAAAGGCGUAGUCGAUGGGAAACAGGUUAAUAUUCCUGUACUUGGUGUUACUGCGAAGGGGGGACGGAGAAGGCUAUGUUGGCCGGGCGACGGUUGUCCCGGUUUAAGCGUGUAGGCUGGUUUUCCAGGCAAAUCCGGAAAAUCAAGGCUGAGGCGUGAUGACGAGGCACUACGGUGCUGAAGCAACAAAUGCCCUGCUUCCAGGAAAAGCCUCUAAGCAUCAGGUAACAUCAAAUCGUACCCCAAACCGACACAGGUGGUCAGGUAGAGAAUACCAAGGCGCUUGAGAGAACUCGGGUGAAGGAACUAGGCAAAAUGGUGCCGUAACUUCGGGAGAAGGCACGCUGAUAUGUAGGUGAAGUCCCUCGCGGAUGGAGCUGAAAUCAGUCGAAGAUACCAGCUGGCUGCAACUGUUUAUUAAAAACACAGCACUGUGCAAACACGAAAGUGGACGUAUACGGUGUGACGCCUGCCCGGUGCCGGAAGGUUAAUUGAUGGGGUCAGCGCAAGCGAAGCUCUUGAUCGAAGCCCCGGUAAACGGCGGCCGUAACUAUAACGGUCCUAAGGUAGCGAAAUUCCUUGUCGGGUAAGUUCCGACCUGCACGAAUGGCGUAAUGAUGGCCAGGCUGUCUCCACCCGAGACUCAGUGAAAUUGAACUCGCUGUGAAGAUGCAGUGUACCCGCGGCAAGACGGAAAGACCCCGUGAACCUUUACUAUAGCUUGACACUGAACAUUGAGCCUUGAUGUGUAGGAUAGGUGGGAGGCUUUGAAGUGUGGACGCCAGUCUGCAUGGAGCCGACCUUGAAAUACCACCCUUUAAUGUUUGAUGUUCUAACGUUGACCCGUGAUCCGGGUUGCGGACAGUGUCUGGUGGGUAGUUUGACUGGGGCGGUCUCCUCCUAAAGAGUAACGGAGGAGCACGAAGGUUGGCUAAUCCUGGUCGGACAUCAGGAGGUUAGUGCAAUGGCAUAAGCCAGCUUGACUGCGAGCGUGACGGCGCGAGCAGGUGCGAAAGCAGGUCAUAGUGAUCCGGUGGUUCUGAAUGGAAGGGCCAUCGCUCAACGGAUAAAAGGUACUCCGGGGAUAACAGGCUGAUACCGCCCAAGAGUUCAUAUCGACGGCGGUGUUUGGCACCUCGAUGUCGGCUCAUCACAUCCUGGGGCUGAAGUAGGUCCCAAGGGUAUGGCUGUUCGCCAUUUAAAGUGGUACGCGAGCUGGGUUUAGAACGUCGUGAGACAGUUCGGUCCCUAUCUGCCGUGGGCGCUGGAGAACUGAGGGGGGCUGCUCCUAGUACGAGAGGACCGGAGUGGACGCAUCACUGGUGUUCGGGUUGUCAUGCCAAUGGCACUGCCCGGUAGCUAAAUGCGGAAGAGAUAAGUGCUGAAAGCAUCUAAGCACGAAACUUGCCCCGAGAUGAGUUCUCCCUGACUCCUUGAGAGUCCUGAAGGAACGUUGAAGACGACGACGUUGAUAGGCCGGGUGUGUAAGCGCAGCGAUGCGUUGAGCUAACCGGUACUAAUGAACCGUGAGG